rnacentral:lncRNA from 1 species
ACUGCUGGCAGCGGGGGGACACCGAGGGGACAAUGGGGACAUUGGGGACAGCGGGGCCCCUGCUCGUCCUCGUCCUGCUGGGGGCGCCCGGCCUGGCCGCAGCCUCAUCCUCACCGGCCUCUACAUCCGCCUCAGGUUUGUGAAUUGGCGACUGCAGAGAGCGGCUGGGCAGAAGGAGGAAGAGGCCGUUUAUGCCGGUCUCAGCCCCGACCACCAGGAGACCUACGAGACCCUGCAGAUGAAGAGCUCCUGACCCCCGCGGGGAAAAUCGGGAAUUUUUACCCCUGGAAAUGGAAAAAUCGGUGUUUUUUACCCCUGGAAAUGGAAAAAUCGGAUUUUUUUACCCCGGAAAUAGAAAAUUUGGGAUUUU